rnacentral:rRNA from 1 species
GGUUGCGAUCAUACCAGCACUAAUGCACCGGAUCCCAUCAGAACUCUGCAGUUAAACAUGCUUGGGCGAGAGUAGUACUAGGAUGGGUGACCCCCUGGGAAGUCCUCGUGUUGCAACCC